rnacentral:rRNA from 1 species
UCCACCCGAGACUCAGUGAAAUUGAACUCGCUGUGAAGAUGCAGUGUACCCGCGGCAAGACGGAAAGACCCCGUGAACCUUUACUAUAGCUUGACACUGAACACUGGUCCUUGAUGUGUAGGAUAGGUGGGAGGCUUUGAAGUGUGGACGCCAGUCUGCAUGGAGCCAUCCUUGAAAUACCACCCUUUAAUGGCUGGUGUUCUAACGUGGGCCCGUGAUCCGGGUUGCGGACAGUGUCUGGUGGGUAGUUUGACUGGGGCGGUCUCCUCCUAAAGAGUAACGGAGGAGCACGAAGGUCAGCUAAUCCUGGUCGGACAUCAGGAGGUUAGUGCAAUGGCAUAAGCUGGCUUGACUGCGAGCGUGACGGCGCGAGCAGGUGCGAAAGCAGGUCAUAGUGAUCCGGUGGUUCUGAAUGGAAGGGCCAUCGCUCAACGGAUAAAAGGUACUCCGGGGAUAACAGGCUGAUACCGCCCAAGAGUUCAUAUCGACGGCGGUGUUUGGCACCUCGAUGUCGGCUCAUCACAUCCUGGGGCUGAAGUAGGUCCCAAGGGUAUGGCUGUUCGCCAUUUAAAGUGGUACGCGAGCUGGGUUUAGAACGUCGUGAGACAGUUCGGUCCCUAUCUGCCGUGGGCGCUGGAGAAUUGAGGGGGGCUGCUCCUAGUACGAGAGGACCGGAGUGGACGCAUCACUGGUGUUCGGGUUGUCAUGCCAAUGGCAUUG